rnacentral:rRNA from 1 species
GACGAACGCUGGCGGCGUGCCUAAUACAUGCAAGUAGAACGCUGAAGGAGGAGCUUGCUUCUCUGGAUGAGUUGCGAACGGGUGAGUAACGCGUAGGUAACCUGCCUGGUAGCGGGGGAUAACUAUUGGAAACGAUAGCUAAUACCGCAUAAGAGUAGAUGUUGCAUGACAUUUGCUUAAAAGGUGCAAUUGCAUCACUACCAGAUGGACCUGCGUUGUAUUAGCUAGUUGGUGGGGUAACGGCUCACCAAGGCGACGAUACAUAGCCGACCUGAGAGGGUGAUCGGCCACACUGGGACUGAGACACGGCCCAGACUCCUACGGGAGGCAGCAGGAGGGAAUCUUCGGCAAUGGACGGAAGUCUGACCGAGCAACGCCGCGGGAGUGAAGAAGGUUUUCGGAUCGUAAAGCUCUGUUGUAAGAGAAGAACGAGUGUGAGAGUGGAAAGUUCACACUGUGACGGUAUCUUACCAGAAAGGGACGGCUAACUACGUG